UACGAAGGGUGCAAGGCGUUACUCGGAAUUACUGGGCGUAAAGCGUGCGUAGGCGGUUUGUUAAGUCUGUCGUGAAAGCCCGGGGCUCAACCCCGGGAGGCGGGUGGAUACUGUCAAGCUCGAGUCCGGAAGAGGCGAGUGGAAUUCCUGGUGUAGCGGUGAAAUGCGCAGAUAAUCAGGAGGAACACCAAUGGCGAAGGCAGCUCGCUGGGACGUGACUGACGCUGAGACGCGAAAGCGUGGGGAGCAAACAGG
rnacentral:rRNA from 1 species